CUUCAUGAAGCUGGAAUUGCUAGUAAUGGCAGGUCAGCAUACUGCCGUGAAUACGUUCCCGGGCCUUGUACACACCGCCCGUCACACCAUGAGAGUUGGAAAUACCCGAAGCCUGUGAGCUAACUGUAAAGAGGCAGCAGUCGAAGGUAGAGCCAAUGAUUGGGGUGAAGUCGUAACAAGGUAAC
rnacentral:rRNA from 1 species